GGGUUGUGAGGUUAAGCGACUAAGCGUACACGGUGGAUGCCCUGGCAGUCAGAGGCGAUGAAGGACGUGCUAAUCUGCGAUAAGCGUCGGUAAGGUGAUAUGAACCGUUAUAACCGGCGAUUUCCGAAUGGGGAAACCCAGUGUGAUUCGUCACACUAUCAUUAACUGAAUCCAUAGGUUAAUGAGGCGAACCGGGGGAACUGAAACAUCUAAGUACCCCGAGGAAAAGAAAUCAACCGAGAUUCCCCCAGUAGCGGCGAGCGAACGGGGAGCAGCCCAGAGCCUGAAUCAGUGUGUGUGUUAGUGGAAGCGUCUGGAAAGGCGCGCGAUACAGGGUGACAGCCCCGUACACAAAAAUGCACAUGCUGUGAGCUCGAUGAGUAGGGCGGGACACGUGGUAUCCUGUCUGAAUAUGGGGGGACCAUCCUCCAAGGCUAAAUACUCCUGACUGACCGAUAGUGAACCAGUACCGUGAGGGAAAGGCGAAAAGAACCCCGGCGAGGGGAGUGAAAAAGAACCUGAAACCGUGUACGUACAAGCAGUGGGAGCACGCUUAGGCGUGUGACUGCGUACCUUUUGUAUAAUGGGUCAGCGACUUAUAUUCUGUAGCAAGGUUAACCGAAUAGGGGAGCCGAAGGGAAACCGAGUCUUAACUGGGCGUUAAGUUGCAGGGUAUAGACCCGAAACCCGGUGAUCUAGCCAUGGGCAGGUUGAAGGUUGGGUAACACUAACUGGAGGACCGAACCGACUAAUGUUGAAAAAUUAGCGGAUGACUUGUGGCUGGGGGUGAAAGGCCAAUCAAACCGGGAGAUAGCUGGUUCUCCCCGAAAGCUAUUUAGGUAGCGCCUCGUGAAUUCAUCUCCGGGGGUAGAGCACUGUUUCGGCAAGGGGGUCAUCCCGACUUACCAACCCGAUGCAAACUGCGAAUACCGGAGAAUGUUAUCACGGGAGACACACGGCGGGUGCUAACGUCCGUCGUGAAGAGGGAAACAACCCAGACCGCCAGCUAAGGUCCCAAAGUCAUGGUUAAGUGGGAAACGAUGUGGGAAGGCCCAGACAGCCAGGAUGUUGGCUUAGAAGCAGCCAUCAUUUAAAGAAAGCGUAAUAGCUCACUGGUCGAGUCGGCCUGCGCGGAAGAUGUAACGGGGCUAAACCAUGCACCGAAGCUGCGGCAGCGACACUAUGUGUUGUUGGGUAGGGGAGCGUUCUGUAAGCCUGUGAAGGUGUGCUGUGAGGCAUGCUGGAGGUAUCAGAAGUGCGAAUGCUGACAUAAGUAACGAUAAAGCGGGUGAAAAGCCCGCUCGCCGGAAGACCAAGGGUUCCUGUCCAACGUUAAUCGGGGCAGGGUGAGUCGACCCCUAAGGCGAGGCCGAAAGGCGUAGUCGAUGGGAAACAGGUUAAUAUUCCUGUACUUGGUGUUACUGCGAAGGGGGGACGGAGAAGGCUAUGUUGGCCGGGCGACGGUUGUCCCGGUUUAAGCGUGUAGGCUGGUUUUCCAGGCAAAUCCGGAAAAUCAAGGCUGAGGCGUGAUGACGAGGCACUACGGUGCUGAAGCAACAAAUGCCCUGCUUCCAGGAAAAGCCUCUAAGCAUCAGGUAACAUCAAAUCGUACCCCAAACCGACACAGGUGGUCAGGUAGAGAAUACCAAGGCGCUUGAGAGAACUCGGGUGAAGGAACUAGGCAAAAUGGUGCCGUAACUUCGGGAGAAGGCACGCUGAUAUGUAGGUGAAGUCCCUCGCGGAUGGAGCUGAAAUCAGUCGAAGAUACCAGCUGGCUGCAACUGUUUAUUAAAAACACAGCACUGUGCAAACACGAAAGUGGACGUAUACGGUGUGACGCCUGCCCGGUGCCGGAAGGUUAAUUGAUGGGGUCAGCGCAAGCGAAGCUCUUGAUCGAAGCCCCGGUAAACGGCGGCCGUAACUAUAACGGUCCUAAGGUAGCGAAAUUCCUUGUCGGGUAAGUUCCGACCUGCACGAAUGGCGUAAUGAUGGCCAGGCUGUCUCCACCCGAGACUCAGUGAAAUUGAACUCGCUGUGAAGAUGCAGUGUACCCGCGGCAAGACGGAAAGACCCCGUGAACCUUUACUAUAGCUUGACACUGAACAUUGAGCCUUGAUGUGUAGGAUAGGUGGGAGGCUUAGAAGUGUGGACGCCAGUCUGCAUGGAGCCGACCUUGAAAUACCACCCUUUAAUGUUUGAUGUUCUAACGUUGACCCGUAAUCCGGGUUGCGGACAGUGUCUGGUGGGUAGUUUGACUGGGGCGGUCUCCUCCUAAAGAGUAACGGAGGAGCACGAAGGUUGGCUAAUCCUGGUCGGACAUCAGGAGGUUAGUGCAAUGGCAUAAGCCAGCUUGACUGCGAGCGUGACGGCGCGAGCAGGUGCGAAAGCAGGUCAUAGUGAUCCGGUGGUUCUGAAUGGAAGGGCCAUCGCUCAACGGAUAAAAGGUACUCCGGGGAUAACAGGCUGAUACCGCCCAAGAGUUCAUAUCGACGGCGGUGUUUGGCACCUCGAUGUCGGCUCAUCACAUCCUGGGGCUGAAGUAGGUCCCAAGGGUAUGGCUGUUCGCCAUUUAAAGUGGUACGCGAGCUGGGUUUAGAACGUCGUGAGACAGUUCGGUCCCUAUCUGCCGUGGGCGCUGGAGAACUGAGGGGGGCUGCUCCUAGUACGAGAGGACCGGAGUGGACGCAUCACUGGUGUUCGGGUUGUCAUGCCAAUGGCACUGCCCGGUAGCUAAAUGCGGAAGAGAUAAGUGCUGAAAGCAUCUAAGCACGAAACUUGCCCCGAGAUGAGUUCUCCCUGACCCUUUAAGGGUCCUGAAGGAACGUUGAAGACGACGACGUUGAUAGGCCGGGUGUGUAAGCGCAGCGAUGCGUUGAGCUAACCGGUACUAAUGAACCGUGAGGCUUAACCUUACAACGCCGAAGCUGUU
rnacentral:rRNA from 1 species